rnacentral:rRNA from 1 species
UCGGCAUGGAGAAGUCUGACCGAGCACGCCGCGUGAGUGAAGAAGGUUUUCGGAUCGUAAAACUCUGUUGUUAGAGAAGAACAAGGAUGAGAGUAACUGUUCAUCCCUUGACGGUAUCUAACCAGAAAGCCACGGCUAACUACGUGCCAGCAGCCGC